UCUCCGUUGGUGAACCAGCGGAGGGAUCAUUACCGAGUUUACAACUCCCAAACCCCUAUGUGAACGUUACCAAACUGUUGCCUCGGCGGGAAAUUCAUGCCACGGGCGCGUCGCAGCCCCGGACCAAGGCGCCCGCCGGAGGACCAACCAAAACUCUUUUGUAUGUCCCUCGCGGACUUUUAUAAUUCUGAACCAUCUCGGCGCCCCUAGCGGGCGUUUCGAAAAUGAAUCAAAACUUUCAACAACGGAUCUCUUGGUUCUG
rnacentral:misc_RNA from 1 species